rnacentral:rRNA from 1 species
ACGCUCGACACCUACGGGAGGCGCAGUGGGGAAUAUUGCACAAUGGGGGAAACCCUGGAUGCAGCGACGCCGCGUGAGCGAAGAAGUAUUUCGGUAUGUAAAGCUCUAUCAGACAGGGAAGAAACUGACGGUACCUGACUAAGAAGCACCGGCUAAAUACGUGCUAGCAGCCGCGGUAAUCUGAGCGGGCUGGCAAGGC